rnacentral:rRNA from 1 species
GAUGAACGCUGGCGGCGUGCCUAAUACAUGCAAGUAGAACGCUGAAGGCGGAGCUUGCUCUUUCCGGAUGAGUUGCGAACGGGUGAGUAACGCGUAGGUAACCUGCCUGGUAGCGGGGGAUAACUAUUGGAAACGAUAGCUAAUACCGCAUAACAGUAGAUAUUGCAUGAUAUUUGCUUGAAAGGGGCAAUUGCUCCACUACCAGAUGGACCUGCGUGGUAUUAGCUAGUUGGUGAGGUAACGGCUCACUAAGGCGACGAUACAUAGCCGACCUGAGAGGGUGAGCGGCCACACUGAGACGGAGACAGGGCCCAGAGUCAUUCGGGAGGCAGCAGGAGGGAAUCGUCGGCAAUGGACGGAAGACUGACCGAGCAACGCCGAGUGAGUGAAGAAGGUUGUCGGAUCGUAAAGCUCUGUUGUAAGGGAGGAACGAGUGUGAGAGUGGAAAGUUCACACUGUGACGGUAUCUUACCAGAAAGGGACGGCUAACUACGUG